UACAGAGGGUGCAAGCGUUAAUCGGAAUUACUGGGCGUAAAGCGUGUGUAGGCGGCCUCGUAAGUCGGAUGUGAAAGCCCCAGGCUUAACCUGGGAAGUGCACUCGAAACUGCGAGGCUUGAGUAUCGGAGAGGUUGGUGGAAUUCUCGGUGUAGAGGUGAAAUUCGUAGAUAUCGAGAGGAACACCGGUGGCGAAGGCGGCCAACUGGACGAAUACUGACGCUGAGACACGAAAGCGUGGGGAGCAAACAGG
rnacentral:rRNA from 1 species